rnacentral:rRNA from 1 species
AACGUAGGACACGAGCGUUAUCCGGAAUUAUUGGGCGUAAAGAGCUCGUAGGCGGUUUGUCGCGUCUGCCGUGAAAGUCCGGGGCUCAACUCCGGAUCUGCGGUGGGUACGGGCAGACUAGAGUGAUGUAGGGGAGACUGGAAUUCCUGGUGUAGCGGUGAAAUGCGCAGAUAUCAGGAGGAACACCGAUGGCGAAGGCAGGUCUCUGGGCAUUAACUGACGCUGAGGAGCGAAAGCAUGGGGAGCGAACAGG